rnacentral:rRNA from 1 species
UAAGGAAUAUUGGGCAAUGGAGGCAACUCUGACCCAGCCAUCCCGCGUGAAGGAUUAAGGCCCUAUGGGUUGUAAACUUCUUUUGUUUGGGAAGAAAUCAGGACAUUCAUGUGCUGUUGACGGUACCUUACGAAUAAGCACCGGCUAACUCCGUGCCAGCAGCCGCGGUAAUACGGAGGGUGCAAGCGUUAUCCGGAAUCACUGGGUUUAAAGGGUGCGUAGGCGGUUUGAUAAGUCAGAGGUGAAAGCUAGCAGCUUAACUGUUAAAUUGCCUUUGAUACUGUCAGACUUGAAUCAAGUUGAGGUAGGCGGAAUGUGACAUGUAGCGGUGAAAUGCAUAGAUAUGUCAUAGAACACCAAUUGCGUAGGCAGCUUGCUGGGCUUGAAUUGACGCUGAGGCACGAAAGCGUGGGGAUCAAACAGGAUUAGAUACCCUGGUAGUCCACGCCCUAAACGAUGUUAACUCGAUAUUUCUUCUUC